rnacentral:rRNA from 1 species
GACGUAGGGCGCGAGCGUUGUCCGGAUUUAUUGGGCGUAAAGAGCUCGUAGGCGGCUUGUCGCGUCGACCGUGAAAACUCGCAGCUCAACUGCGAGCCUGCGGUCGAUACGGGCAGGCUAGAGUUCGGUAGGGGAGACUGGAAUUCCUGGUGUAGCGGUGAAAUGCGCAGAUAUCAGGAGGAACACCGAUGGCGAAGGCGGGCUUCUGGUUGACUUCUGACGCUGAGGUGCGAAAGCUAGGGGAGCGAACGGG